rnacentral:rRNA from 1 species
CUUCGGGAGAAGGUGUGCCCCGGUAGCGUGUAGAGACUUGCUCUCGAAGCGCGAUGGGGUUGCAGUGAAAUGGUGGCUGCGACUGUUUAAUAAAAACACAGCACUCUGCAAACACGAAAGUGGACGUAUAGGGUGUGACGCCUGCCCGGUGCCGGAAGGUUAAGUGAUGGGGUGCAAGCUCUUGAUCGAAGCCCCGGUAAACGGCGGCCGUAACAAUAACGGUCCUAAGGUAGCGAAAUUCCUUGUCGGGUAAGUUCCGACCUGCACGAAUGGCGUAACGAUGGCCACACUGUCUCCUCCUGGGACUCAGCGAAGUUGAAAUGUUUGUGAAGAUGCAAUCUACCCGCGGCUAGACGGAAAGACCCCAUGAACCUUUACUGUAGCUUUGCAUUGGACUUUGAACCGGUUUGUGUAGGAUAGGUGGGAGACUGUGAAGCCGGGACGCUAGUUUCGGUGGAGUCAACCUUGAAAUACCACCCUGAUUUGUUUGAGGUUCUAACCUUGGUCCGUGAAUCCGGAUCGGGGACCGUGCAUGGUAGGCAGUUUGUCUGGGGCGGUCUCCUCCCAAAAGGUAACGGAGGAGUACGAAGGUACGCUUAGGGCGGUCGGACAUCGCCCACAAAGUGCAAUGGCAAAAGCGUGCUUGACUGCGAGACCCACAAGUCGAGCAGGUACGAAAGUAGGUCAUAGUGAUCCGGUGGUUCUGUAUGGAAGGGCCAUCGCUCAACGGAUAAAAGGUACUCUGGGGAUAACAGGCUAAUUCCUCCCAAGAGUUCAUAUCGACGGGGGAGUUUGGCACCUCGAUGUCGGCUCAUCACAUCCUGGGGCUGUAGUCGGUCCCAAGGGUAUGGCUGUUCGCCAUUUAAAGUGGUACGCGAGCUGGGUUUAAAACGUCGUGAGACAGUUUGGUCCCUAUCUGCCGUGGGCGCUGGAAAUUUGAAGGGGGCUGCUCCUAGUACGAGAGGACCGGAGUGGACGAACCUCUGGUGUACCGGUUAUGACGCCAGUCGUAUCGCCGGGUAGCUAAGUUCGGAAGAGAUAAACGCUGAAAGCAUCUAAGCGUGAAACUCGCCUUAAGAUAAGAUUUCCCGGAGUCUUGAACUCCCUGAAGGGUCGUCGAAGACCACGACGUUGAUAGGUCAGGUGUGGAAGCGCAGCAAUGCGUUAAGCUAACUGAUGCUAAUUGCCCGUGCGGCUUGAUC